AACGAACGCUGGCGGCAGGCUUAACACAUGCAAGUCGAACGCCCCGCAAGGGGAGUGGCAGACGGGUGAGUAACGCGUGGGAAUCUACCCAGUUCUACGGAACAACAGAGGGAAACUUCUGCUAAUACCGUCUACGCCCUAUGGGGGAAAGAUUUAUCGGAAUUGGAUGCACCCGCGUUGGAUUAGCUAGUUGGUGGGGUAAUGGCCUACCAAGGCGACGAUCCAUAGCUGGUCUGAGAGGAUGAUCAGCCACACUGGGACUGAGACACGGCCCAGACUCCUACGGGAGGCAGCAGUGGGGAAUAUUGGACAAUGGGCGCAAGCCUGAUCCAGCCAUGCCGCGUGAGUGAUGAAGGCCUUAGGGUUGUAAAGCUCUUUCAGUGGGGAAGAUAAUGACGGUACCCACAGAAGAAGCCCCGGCUAACUUCGUGCCAGCCGCCGCCGUAACAC
rnacentral:rRNA from 1 species